rnacentral:rRNA from 1 species
AGUGAACGCUGGCGGUAGGCCUAACACAUGCAAGUCGAACGGCAGCACAGUAAGAGCUUGCUCUUACGGUUGACGAGUGGCGGACGGUUGAGGAAUACAUCGGAAUCUACUUUUUCGUGGGGGAUAACGUAGGGAAACAUACGCUAAUACCGCAUACGACCUACGGGUGAAAGCAGGGGAGCUUCGGACCUUGCGCGAUUGAAUGAGCCGAUGUCGGAUUAGCUAGUUGGCGGGGUAAAGGCCCACCAAGGCGACGAUCCGUAGCUGGUCUGAGAGGAUGAUCAGCCACACUGGAACUGAGACACGGUCCAGACUCCUACGGGAGGCAGCAGUGGGGAAUAUUGGACAAUGGGCGCAAGCCUGAUCCAGCCAUACCGCGUGGGUGAAGAAGGCCUUCGGGUUGUAAAGCCCUUUUGUUGGGAAAGAAAAGCAGCAGGUUAAUACCCCGCUGUUCUGACGGUACCCAAAGAAUAAGCACCGGCUAACUUCGUG